rnacentral:rRNA from 1 species
GACGAACGCUGGCGGCGUGCCUAAUACAUGCAAGUAGAACGCUGAAGGAGGAGCUUGCUUCUCUGGAUGAGUUGCGAACGGGUGAGUAACGCGUAGGUAACCUGCCUGGUAGCGGGGGAUAACUAUUGGAAACGAUAGCUAAUACCGCAUAAGAGUAGAUGUUGCAUGACAUUUGCUUAAAAGGUGCAAUUGCAUCACUACCAGAUGGACCUGCGUUGUAUUAGCUAGUUGGUGGGGUAACGGCUCACCAAGGCGACGAUACAUAGCCGACCUGAGAGGGUGAUCGGCCACACUGGGACUGAGACACGGCCCAGACUCCUACGGGAGGCAGCAGUAGGGAAUCUUCGGCAAUGGACGGAAGUCUGACCGAGCAACGCCGCGUGAGUGAAGAAGGUUUUCGGAUCGUAAAGCUCUGUUGUAAGAGAAGAACGAGUGUGAGAGUGGAAAGUUCACACUGUGACGGUAUCUUACCAGAAAGGGACGGCUAACUACGUGCCAGCAGCCGCGGUAAUACGUAGGUCCCGAGCGUUGUCCGGAUUUAUUGGGCGUAAAGCGAGCGCAGGCGGUUAGAUAAGUCUGAAGUUAAAGGCUGUGGCUUAACCAUAGUACGCUUUGGAAACUGUUUAACUUGAGUGCAAGAGGGGAGAGUGGAAUUCCAUGUGUAGCGGUGAAAUGCGUAGAUAUAUGGAGGAACACCGGUGGCGAAAGCGGCUCUCUGGCUUGUAACUGACGCUGAGGCUCGAAAGCGUGGGGAGCAAAUAGG